rnacentral:rRNA from 1 species
GGUUAGCGGCGGACGGGUGAGUAACGCGUGGGAACGUGCCCUUUUCUACGGAAUAGCCUCGGGAAACUGAGAGUAAUACCGUAUACGCCCUUUUGGGGAAAGAUUUAUCGGAGAAGGAUCGGCCCGCGUUGGAUUAGGUAGUUGGUGGGGUAAUGGCCUACCAAGCCGACGAUCCAUAGCUGGUUUGAGAGGAUGAUCAGCCACACUGGGACUGAGACACGGCCCAG